GGGACACGUGGUAUCCUGUCUGAAUAUGGGGGGACCAUCCUCCAAGGCUAAAUACUCCUGACUGACCGAUAGUGAACCAGUACCGUGAGGGAAAGGCGAAAAGAACCCCGGCGAGGGGAGUGAAAAAGAACCUGAAACCGUGUACGUACAAGCAGUGGGAGCACGCUUAGGCGUGUGACUGCGUACCUUUUGUAUAAUGGGUCAGCGACUUAUAUUCUGUAGCAAGGUUAACCGAAUAGGGGAGCCGAAGGGAAACCGAGUCUUAACUGGGCGUUAAGUUGCAGGGUAUAGACCCGAAACCCGGUGAUCUAGCCAUGGGCAGGUUGAAGGUUGGGUAACACUAACUGGAGGACCGAACCGACUAAUGUUGAAAA
rnacentral:rRNA from 1 species